UGCUAGUCGCACGAGUUCAGACUCGUGGCGAAUAGCUCAGUAACACGUGGCCAAACUACCCUUCGGAACACAAUACCCUCGGGAAACUGAGGCUAAUAGUGUAUCCCAUACCACCACUGGAAUGAGUGGUAUGUCAAACGCUCCGGCGCCGAAGGAUGUGGCUGCGGCCGAUUAGGUAGACGGUGGGGUAACGGCCCACCGUGCCAAUAAUCGGUACGGGUCAUGAGAGUGAGAACCCGGAGACGGAAUCUGAGACAAGAUUCCGGGCCCUACGGGGCGCAGCAGGCGCGAAACCUUUACACUGCACGACAGUGCGAUAGGGGGAUCCCAAGUGCACAGGCAUAGCGCCUGUGCUUUUCGGUACCGUAAGGUGGUACCAGAAUAAGGGCUGGGCAAGACCGGUGCCAGCCGCCGCGGUAAUACCGGCAGCCCAAGUGAUGGCCGAUCUUAUUGGGCCUAAAGCGUCCGUAGCUGGCCGCGCAAGUCCAUCGGGAAAUCCACCUGCUCAACAGGUGGGCGCCCGGUAGAAACUGCGUGGCUUGGGACCGGAAGGCGCGACGGGUACGUCCGGGGUAGGAGUGAAAUCCCGUAAUCCUGGACGGACCGCCGAUGGCGAAAGCACGUCGCGAGAACGGAUCCGACAGUGAGGGACGAAAGCCAGGGUCUCGAACCGGAUUAGAUACCCGGGUAGUCCUGGCCGUAAACAAUGUCUGCUAGGUGUGGCUCCCACUACGAGUGGGUGCUGUGCCGUAGGGAAGCCGCUAAGCAGACCGCCUGGGAAGUACGUCCGCAAGGAUGAAACUUAAAGGAAUUGGCGGGGGAGCACUACAACCGGAGGAGCCUGCGGUUUAAUUGGACUCAACGCCGGACAUCUCACCAGCAUCGACUGUGAUAAUGACGACCAGGUUGAUGACCUUGUCCGAGUUUCAGAGAGGAGGUGCAUGGCCGCCGUCAGCUCGUACCGUGAGGCGUCCUGUUAAGUCAGGCAACGAGCGAGACCCGCACCCUUACUUGCCAGCA
rnacentral:rRNA from 1 species